GAUGAACGCUGGCGGCGUGCCUAAUACAUGCAAGUCGAGCGAAUGGAUUAAGAGCUUGCUCUUAUGAAGUUAGUGGCAGACGGCUGAGUAAUACAUUGGUACCUACCCCAAAGUGGGGGAUAGCUCAUCGAAAGAUGGGGUAAUCCCGCAUGUGCUCUUCGGAGUAAAGCUUUCGGGCGCUUUGGGAAGGGCCUUUGUCCUAUCAGAUUGUUGGUGAGGUAAUGGCUCACCAAGUCUAUGACGGGUAGCUGGAUCGAGAGGUCGACCAGCCAGACUGGGACGGAGACACGGCCCAGACUCCUACGGGAGGCAGCAGUAGGGAAUCUUCCGCAAUGGACGAAAGUCUGACGGAGCAACGCCGCGUGAGUGAUGAAGGCUUUCGGGUCGUAAAACUCUGUUGUUAGGGAAGAACAAGUGCUAGUUGAAUAAGCUGGCACCUUGACGGUACCUAACCAGAAAGCCACGGCUAACUACGUGCCAGCAGCCGCCGUAA
rnacentral:rRNA from 1 species